rnacentral:rRNA from 1 species
GACGAACGCUGGCGGCGUGCUUAACACAUGCAAGUCGAACGAUGAAGCCCAGCUCGCUGGGUUGAUUAGUGGCGAACGGGUGAGUAACACGUGCGUAACCUGCCCUCCUCUCUGGCAUAACUCCGUGCAACCGGCGCUAAUACUGGAUAUGUCUGCUGCCUGCCUGGGUGGUGGUGGAAAGAUUUAUCGGUUGUGGAUGGACUCGCGGCUUAUCAGCUUUUUGGUGGGGUAUUGGCCUACCAAGGCGACGCCGGGUAGCCGUCCUGAGAGGGUGACCGGCCACACUAGGACGGAGACACGGACCAGACUCCUACGGGAGGCAGCGGUGGGGAAUAUUGCACAGUGAGCGGAAGCCUGAUGCAGCGACGCCGCGUGCGGGAUGAAGACCUUCGGGUUGAGAACCGCUUUCAGCGCUGACGAGGAAUUUGUGACGGUAGAAGCAGAAGAAGCAACGGCUAAAUACGUG